rnacentral:rRNA from 1 species
AUGGACUCCGCCCCGGGGAUGAGGGACUCGGCGCUGGACCUGCUGGCGGCACUGCUGACCGGCCGGGCCCCGGCGGCCGCCCAGGACGACGGGGGCCAGAACCGCCGCCUGCUCGCGCUGCUCGCCACCUCCCUCGCCGUGCUCGUCGGCUGCGGCGUCGCGCUCCUCUUCCGCCGCUCCUCCUCCGCCGCCGCGCCGCUCGCCCGGCAGGCCGCCGCGGCCAAGCCCCUCGCCGCCAAGAAGGACCAGGAGCCCGACCCCGACGACGGCCGCCAGCGGGUCGCCCUCUUCUUCGGCACCCAGACCGGCACCGCCGAGGGCUUCGCCAAGGCGCUCGCGGAGGAGGCCAAGGCCAGGUACGACAAGGCCGUCUUCAAGGUGCUCGAUCUGGAUGAUUACGCCGCCGAGGACGACGAGUACGAGGAGAAGCUCAAGAAGGAGAACAUCGCCUUCUUCUUCCUCGCAACGUACGGGGAUGGUGAGCCAACCGACAAUGCGGCCAGAUUCUACAAAUGGUUCUCUGAGGGGAACGAGAGGGGUGAGUGGUUGAGCAACCUCAAGUUCGGGGUGUUUGCUCUUGGGAAUAGGCAGUACGAGCAUUUCAACAAGGUCGGAAAGGAGGUUGAUCAGCUCCUCGCUGAACAAGGUGGAAAGCGCAUAGUUCCUGUUGGCCUUGGAGAUGACGAUCAAUGCAUUGAGGAUGACUUCAACGCCUGGAAGGAACUGCUGUGGCCAGAAUUGGACAAACUGCUCCGCAUUGAAGAUAAUUCUUCAGCAGCACAAUCUCCUUACACGGCCGCUAUUCCACAAUAUAGAAUUGUGCUUACCAAACCAGAGGAUGCCACACAUAUCAACAAGUCUUUCAGUCUUAGCAAUGGUCAUGUUGUCUAUGACAGUCAACAUCCUUGCAGGGCAAAUGUGUCUGUGCGACGGGAGCUUCACACACCAGCUUCCGACCGGUCCUGCAUUCAUUUGGAGUUUGAUAUUGCAGGAACUAGCCUCACAUAUGAGACUGGAGAUCAUGUUGGUGUGUACGCAGAAAAUUCAAUUGAGACUGUAGAGGAGGCAGAAAAGCUAUUAGAUUAUUCACCAGAUACUUAUUUCUCAAUUUAUGCUGACCAAGAGGAUGGCACUCCACUUUUUGGGGGCUCUUUGCCACCUCCUUUCCCAUCUCCCUGUACUGUGAGGGUUGCACUUGCCAGAUAUGCCGAUCUGUUGAAUUCACCUAAAAAGAGUGUUUUACUUGCUUUGGCUGCUCAUGCAUCUGACCCCAAAGAGGCCGAGCGGCUCAGACAUCUAGCAUCUCCUGCUGGAAAGAAGGAGUAUUCUCAGUGGAUAAUCGCUAGUCAAAGAAGUCUCUUGGAAGUUAUUUCGGAGUUUCCAUCGGCAAAGCCUCCGCUUGGUGUCUUCUUUGCAGCUAUUGCUCCUCGCCUUCAGCCGAGAUACUACUCAAUAUCUUCCUCACCAAGAAUGGCACCUACAAGAAUUCAUGUAACAUGUUCACUAGUUCAUGGGCAAACCCCAACUGGAAGGAUCCAUAAAGGAGUUUGUUCUACUUGGAUGAAGAAUUCAACUCCCUCGGAAGAGAGCCAAGAAUGUAGCUGGGCUCCAAUUUUUGUGAGGCAGUCAAACUUCAAAUUGCCUGCUGAUCCCACAGUGCCUAUUAUAAUGGUAGGCCCUGGGACUGGCCUUGCACCUUUCAGGGGUUUCUUACAGGAAAGAUUAGCUUUAAAAGAGUCUGGGGUAGAACUGGGCUGUGCCAUCCUCUUCUUCGGGUGCAGAAACCGCCAGAUGGACUUCAUAUACGAGGAUGAGCUGAACAAUUUUGCCGAAUCCGGAGCCCUGUCUGAGUUGGUUGUCGCCUUUUCUCGUGAGGGUCCUACAAAAGAGUACGUCCAACACAAAAUGGCAGAGAAGGCUGCAGAGCUGUGGAGCAUUGUUUCCCAGGGCGGCUAUGUGUAUGUCUGCGGUGAUGCCAAGGGCAUGGCAAGAGACGUGCACCGCGCCCUGCACACCAUAGUUCAGGAACAGGGCUCUCUGGACAGCUCCAAGACGGAGAGCUACGUGAAAAACCUUCAGACGGAAGGGAGAUACCUGAGAGACGUCUGGUAA